UUCAUCGUGGUUCGCAAACCUCCCACGCAAAAAAACUAAGGAAAU
rnacentral:ncRNA from 18 species